AACGAACGCUGGCGGCAUGCCUAACACAUGCAAGUCGAACGAGACCUUCGGGUCUAGUGGCGCACGGGUGCGUAACGCGUGGGAACCUGCCCUUAGGUUCGGAAUAACUCCCCGAAAGGGGUUCUAAUACCGGAUAAUUUCUUCGGACCAAAGAUUUAUCGCCUUUGGAUGGGCCCGCGUUGGAUUAGCUAGUUGGUAGGGUAAAAGCCUACCAAGGCGACGAUCCAUAGCUGGUCUGAGAGGAUGAUCAGCCACACUGGGACUGAGACACGGCCCAGACUCCUACGGGAGGCAGCAGUGGGGAAUAUUGGACAAUGGGCGAAAGCCUGAUCCAGCAAUGCCGCGUGAGUGAUGAAGGCCUUAGGGUUGUAAAGCUCUUUUACCCGGGAUGAUAAUGACAGUACCGGGAGAAUAAGCUCCGGCUAACUCCGUG
rnacentral:rRNA from 1 species